UCUGUCCAGAUAAAUCAUUUGUAUUCAUAUUUUUUCCAUAUCUAAUUGGGUUAGCUCUUUCCACGACUUCAGCAUCAUCACCACUCAUUUAUAGUGAAGUUUCAUCAAAAAUAUAGUCAGCUAUUCAUAAGUGACAGACAGAGAGAGAGAGAGAGAGAGAGAGAGAGAGAGAGAGAGAGAGAGAGAGAGAGAGAGGGUUCACCUGUUUUAAUCUGAGACAGAGGGAGCAACUCUUAAGUGAGAAGCUGUGAUGUCAUCUCCAGUCCCAUACGUAUGCUGAGCUGUAUCCAGCCCAGACACAGGCAGACCAAGAGGAAAACACACCAGGCUGCUGAGAGGAUAUGAUGCACAUACUGAGCGUUCUUGGAGACAGAACAGGCAGAUCAAACCAUUCAGGAAUUUAUUAUAUCUAAAGUGAUAUCCACGUUUCAUCAAGCUGAGGAGUGACACUGGAAUUAAUUCAUUCACCAAAGCGGUAUGGGCUACCAUAAACAUACUCUGUGGUGAUCCUGCACCCAGCUAAAGCUGAAUCAAAGUGCAGCAAUAUCGUCAGAGAGGCGAGUCACCAGAUGAGUUGUCUUCCCAGACAGAAAGAAGAUUCGCUGGAAAGAGAGCACACUGAUUCAGCUCUCUUGUUCAGUGGUUUUUCCAAAAGCAGCCACUGUAAAUAUUUACAUGCUGUGUCUGGCAGCCCUGAGAGACGUAGAACACCUUGAGACAGACUGGUUUUGACUCCAUGAUCUUUCAACUCAUGGUUAACCUCAUGGGGCCCUGCAGGCAGGGCUGGAUCUAAAACUGUUGUGGUGUUUUGGUUACUGACUCAACUGGUUGGCAGAACUCAGUGAGAACCUGCCUUUUUUGUUUUGUCGUGCCUCGUGCUGCACCACCCUUUCUCUGCUUGUCUGUGUUUUCGUUACUAGCCCUUUAUAGAAUUUAAGACUGAUAAACACAUCCUAGGGAAGCACUUAGUCAUAGGCAUUGGCAUGGACUCAAUAAGUGUUUUACACUCCAAAGUAAGAAUCUCCCUUUUUGGACAAACAUAAAAAAUAUAAUUCCAUUUAAUAAAAAACAUUUAUUUAUAAUAAUAAUAGUAGUAGCAAUAAUAAUAACAACAGUAAUAUCCCUCAUCAUAUAGAACUUUAAAAAACAACUUUACAAAGUGCUUUACUAACAGAAAAUACACAGUGCCAUUAUAAAAUAGAAUACAUACAAUUAACUAAUUAAAAUCCUGUUUAUGAAAAUAAGUCAUUAAAAGAGCCUCAGUAAUAUGUCAGUAUGUUGCCAUUUACAUGAGACUGGCAAAUCUAUGGAACAUAUGUGGCCAUGUUUUAAGAAUGUAUGAAACAGUAAUAACAGGUUUGUACUGUGAUAUUUUGCAAAUCUAUCCUUAAAACUAUUACAAAUAUACUGGAUUAUUAAAGUUACAUGAAAAUAUUAGUUCUCAGUAUAUGUAAAUAUAUUUCUGUAGGUGUUCAUAGGAGUGUGUGUUUAUGAAAUAUUUCCUGCAAAAUGCUUAAUAUAAUAAUGGAGCUGGUGAAUUACAGGAUGAGCAUGCCUGUGUGAGUGUGUAGAGUAACUGUGUAUACCUGUAUAAUCUGUCCUAUAUAACCUGACCUGUUUACACACACCAUGGGCUGUGCCAUGUGCUCCCAGCUAGUUGACAUGUGGACUGUAAGAGUGAGCAGGAGUGGCCGCAGGGCCAUGGAACUCUCCACCUACCCACAGAUGCUCCAGGGGGGCUACCACAGAGUGACAGGCCUCCACUACAUGUCUUCCUUCUCUGAUGCUGAGGACUGCUGCGAUGACACCAGCUCAGGCAGCUCUCUCACCUUAGACUGGCAAACUCAGGGGACUGAUGGAUGACACUUGACCAAUGGGAGUUAUUAUACAAACAUGUAAAUAAACAUGAUGAAUACACAGGAAACAUCCAAUAAAUAUGUUGACUGGUGUUGAAAAGAA